CUAGGUAAAUAGCAAAGCAAUGAUGAUGUUUUCAGGCUUCGUGAGUGAUGAAAUUCAUGAAAACGUAUUCUGGCCAGAUUUACCUUAUGUAACUGAUGAACAUGGAAGUAAGAUAAUAAUCUUUUGUUUAUAAUUCUCAUGUUUAUUACGGGUAGCAAUUGUUUGGUUAAGCAGCAUUGUCGUUAAUACUUUUAUUUACUUAUUGUCAGAUAUAUACUUUCAAGUGAAGAAUGAUGAAGAUAUUUUGCAAACCUUAUCCACCGAGGAAAACAUUGUGGUAAGAUUUGUUCUAUAAAAUUGAUUCCGUUUAAUUAAUAAGUUAUUAUUUUGGGACACUAAAACUGUUUUUCUCCUAUGAAGUGUAAUACUCCUAUUGCUCGUCGUCUGUUAUGUUUUCUCCUAUAUAGGUCUAAUUAUUCCUAAAUUCUUUAAUGUUUUCUCUUUCUGGUGUUUAAUAUGUUAAAAAUUUCUGAUAUGGCAAACAUAAUGGUAUACAUCAUCUGUCUGCAGCUUGAAAAAAGUAAAAUUUUUUUAUCUUUUCUUCACUACAUGCAUUAUCCAACUUUAAAUGAUUGUUUUGAAGCCAUACUUGAUUUUAAAAAAUGCAGCAAGUUAUUAUUGGACUGGAUACUGCAGAGAUGAUUAGUGAGGUUGAGUUGCUAGGUCAUUCAGAAAUUGAUUUUGGCAUUGAUGAGUUAGAUGAUGAAGAUAGUGAUUUCCAUGAUGAAGAGGACGAUGACACUGAAAACGAUAACUAUGGAAAGGUGGUAACUUUUCCUUCAAUUCCCCCUUCAAGUUUCAGAUUGUAGUUUUCUGCAGUAUGUGGACAUUGAUAUUGUUCAUCUGCAGGACUGGGUUGGUGUUCUUGAUGAUGAAGAAGAAGAUCUGGAUGAGGACUCUGAUGGAUCCAUAGGGGACUGGGCUAAAUUGGAGACCAUGCGGUCUUCUCAUCCAAUGCAUUUUGCCAAAAAGCUAGUUGAGGUGACUCUCCUAAUCAAAUUUGCUACAUAGUGUAGUAUUAGAAAAGUAGAUCGAAAAAAGUGGAACAUGGAAUACCAUUCUACUAAAUUGACUUUCCGACUAAAAUUACUAUAAUAUUUUUGCCUUUAUUUUGUCAUCGUCAUAUUCCCUUCUCUAAUUUAAAAUGAAUCAAGUUAAUACACCAUCAUAUAUCCAUUUUUGUGAAUCUAUUUUUGUUACAGGUUGUGUCUGAUAAUCCAGAUGAAUAUAUGGAGCAGCCUUCUGCUGGUCUUGCCAUACAAGGCCUCCUAAGACCUGCAUUUAUUGAAGAACACUCUGUCAUCCAGAACCAUAAAUCUAGUGGUGCUGAUACUAAUUACAUUUCUGAAGAACAAAUUCAAGAAGCCAUUUUUCAGAUCAAUGGUCACAAACCCGAAAAUGAAACUAUGCAAGGUAGCCCAAAUUUGGCAGGGGAAUUGGAGAAGGAUGAAAUGCUGGGAAAUGGAACUUUAUUUUACAAGCUAGAGAUGAUUAAAAUUCAGUUAGUUUCAUCACAUGGACAUCCGGUACUUUUGAUUUUUCUUUGAGAAUCUCAAGAUUGCAUGGUGCUCUCAUUUCUUCUGACCUUUACUUCUUCAUAUUUAAACUUUUUUGGUUCUCAUACUUGAGAAAGCUGCUGAAUCUACUCUAUUUUCUGCCUCUUUUGUAACUCUGCAUGUUCACAACUAUGUUUUGAUAGCAAUCCUAAAGUUGGCAGAAGUCAUCCAUGCCAUUUAGUGAAAUUUCUUUCAGCAUAUAUAUGUUCCAUGUACACAAUAUAGUUAUCUGUGGCGUGUUUAUUUCAUCUAAUAUUAGAAUGGAGAUGAAAAGUUUUGCUUGAUUCCUCUUCUUUUUCUUAAAAUACUCUGCUUUCAUGUCCUUGCAAUUGUUUACUAUCAGAAAUGAUACGUAGGGACCUGAAAAGGAGUUGUAGAGGAUAGAUGAGGAAAAGAAGAUGAAGGAAAUUAUGCUAUCAAUUUUCCCAUUACCCCAUGUUGAAUGAAAAACGUUUAUUUCUCUUUCUGAAAGCAGUGGGCUUUAAAUGGCAAACAACGAUUGGGAUGAGAAUAUCCCCCAAAUAGUAGGGGGCAGCCUUCCGUUUGAUACUAAUAGAUAUAUCUUUUGUACUCAAGGUCCAUCUCAAAUAUCGUAAAUAUCAACACCUCAAAUGAUGAACCUUCUUAUCAUUAGGGCAUGUUCUUAACUUGAACCAACUGUUUGACUUGAGAAAUAACUUGACUCUGUGUUUGCAAGUAUGCUGCUGCAAUGACUUGGCUGUACAAAUUUGACAUCCCAGACUUUGUGUCAGAUGUAUUUGAACAAAUAUAGAUUGUAAUGUACUUGACAGUUGCCUUUCUAUGCUACGUAUACUGAUGCGAUUAAAUUUCAAAUAGUAUUACGCAUUGAAUGCACCACUUUGAGGUGGUCUAUCCUUUUGCUAUUAGGAUGGGAAAGCAUAAAUUACUUUUUUUGUUCUGUUUGUGCUUUCUACAGAAUUUUGUUGAUAUAGAAGAUUUUAUGAAAGCUCAACCUGAUGCAAUAGUACAUUCAGCUGCAAAAAUUAUAUCUCGUGUCAAAUCUGGUGGAGAAAAGACUACACAAGCUCUCAAAUCUCUGUGCUGGAGAUGCAAGGGUAUUCAAGUGGAGGUGACACAAUGGAGUUAUAUUAAUCUGUAAUUGUAUCAUGCCUGUUAACUUGAAGUAAACUUUGCAUUGUUUGUAACUUGGAAAAUUGACAUGAAAAUAAGAUUAUAAUUUCACCCAUUCUUUGGUGACAUUUACAGCAUGAAGAAAGUGAGAGGAAUCAAUAUCUACUUCUCCUCACCCAUCUCUUCAUGAACAAGGCCUUUUAAACUUAUUCCCUCCUGGAAACUUAGUACUUACUUUUGCGAGAUUAAUUUGUUAAGAAUUUAAAUUGUGUAUGAAAAGUUACGUUCAUAAUAUUGGACCCUCAUCCAGUUGACGUUCUAUAUACUCUCUUGCAAUAUAUUGUCUUGGAAUACAAGAGAAGGCCAUCUAACAUAUUAAGAGAGAGUCAGAAAAGUUAUUUUUCUGCAAGCAAGUUCUUUUGCUAAUUUUAUAUAUUGAAUUUGUGACAGGAGGUGGCUCUUAUAGGUGUAGACAGCCUUGGUUUUGACUUAAGAAUUUGCUGUGGAACACAAGUACAAACAUUGCGUUUUGCAUUUAAGAAGAGGGUAUAUACUUUUUGUUCUUUACUUUUAUAUUCCAUCAAUUUCAUAUGCUCGUACUCAUCUUGGACCCAUGUGUUUGCAAUGAAAGAACAAUCUCUCUUAUCGUGAUGCAUGGCCUGGACUAUAUACAAAAUAGUGAAAAUUACCUUUUUAUAUAUCUCUCUCCUCUCCCUCUUUAACAAGUUGAUUUCCAGGCCUCUUCGGAGUAUAGCGCUGAAAGACAGUUGAAUGAUCUACUGUUUCCAAGAGUCCACAAGUUUCAACAAAAGAAAGAAUCUCAACAGACUGAAUCAUAACAUAUAGGUAUUCAAGUUCAUUUCUGUUUGUUCACCUCGUGUGCAUGUUUUAAAAGUUGUAUGCGAACAGCACAAGGGGAAUUCUUUUCUUGUUACCAGUUUCCUUGUAUCUUAACUGCUAGGUGAUUACUUUUAUUCUCUCUAUUUUAUCCCGGCCUCAACUGUAUAAGCUGAAUUUUGGUUUUGAUUGUGCUAUUCUAAAGGCAUCCACUGUUUACGCUGCUUAUGUACUUCUUGAGACUGAUAUUAACCUAUUGUCUCGUUACACAACUGAGGUGCAUGA
rnacentral:lncRNA from 1 species